UACAAGAGGCCCAAACGUUAUUCGGAAUUACUGGGCUUAAAGAGUCCGUAGGCGGCGCAGAAAGUAGGGUGUGAAAGCCCUCGGCUUAACCGAGGAAUUGCGCUCUAAACUACUGUGCUUGAGGAACCUAGAGGUGAGCGGAACUGAUGGUGGAGCGGUGAAAUGCGUUGAUAUCAGCAGGAACACCGGAGGCGAAGGCGGCUCACUGGGGGUUAUCUGACGCUGAGGGACGAAAGCCAGGGGAGCGAACGGG
rnacentral:rRNA from 1 species